rnacentral:rRNA from 1 species
UCUAGUUACUAUAGCAAAGAGGAUACACCUGUUCCCAUUCCGAACACAGAAGUUAAGCUCUUUAGCGCCGAUGG